UACAGUCUUUGUGGGGGGCUGAAGUUGAUGAAGGGAGCACUUUAGGACAGUUCUAUUAGAGACAGACUGUCAUGGAGUUGCUCUCUUAACCAACUAAAGCACAACUUCAGGUUCAAUGC
rnacentral:precursor_RNA from 10 species